CGGGCGCGGCCGGCUUCAUCGGCGCUGCCCUGGUGCGGCAGCUUGCCGGCGGCGGCGAACCGGUCGUCGGGCUCGACAUCCGGGCGCCCGCC
rnacentral:tRNA from 1 species